GGGGAUGUGGCUCAGUGGUAGAGCUUGUGCUUAGCACGCAUGAGGCUCUGGGUUCAACCCCCAAUGGCACAA
rnacentral:tRNA from 1 species